UUUUGACCUCAGUUCAGACAAGAUUACCCGCC
rnacentral:rRNA from 1 species